rnacentral:rRNA from 1 species
UCCGACCCUCAUACUGGCGAGGCCACGGGAAAGAUCUAAGCCGCGUGUGCUUUCGAACAAUCAGUGCUCAAUGUGUCCUGCAAUUCACANCUUGUCUCGCAUCUGGCUGCGUUCUUCAUCGACCCGUGAGCCGAGUNAUCCNGCACUU